UGGGAGGUCGUCUAACUGGUAGGACGCCGGGCCCUGAACUCGGAAACCGAAGGUUCGAACCCUUCCCUCCCAACCA
rnacentral:tRNA from 1 species